rnacentral:rRNA from 1 species
AUUGAACGCUGGCGGCAGGCUUAACACAUGCAAGUCGAGCGGAGUGAUGGUGCUUGCACUAUUACUUAGCGGCGGACGGGUGAGUAAUGCUUAGGCAUCUGCCAUUUAGUGGGGGACAACAUUCCGAAAGGAAUGCUAAUACAGCAUACGUCCUACGGGAGAAAGCAGGGGAUCUUCGGACCUUGCGCUAAAUGAUGAGCCUAAGUCGGAUUAGCUAGUUGGUGGGGUAAAGGCCUACCAAGGGGACGAUCUGUAGCGGGUCGGAGAGGAUGAUCCGCCACACUGGGACUGAGACACGGACCAGACUCCUACGGGGGGAAGCAGUGGGGAAUAUUGGACAAUGGGCGGAAGCCUGAUCCAGCCAUGCCGCGUGUGUGAAGAAGGCCUUUUGGUUGUAAAGCACUUUAAGCGAGGAGGAGGCUCUCCUAGUUAAUACCUAGGAAGAGUGGACGUUACUCGCAGAAUAAGCACCGGCUAACUCUGUGCCAGCCGCCGCAGUAAGAC